CUACGGAGGGUGCAAGCGUUAAUCGGAAUUACUGGGCGUAAAGCGUACGUAGGCGGUCCGUUAAGUUAGAUGUGAAAGCCCCGGGCUUAACCUGGGAACUGCAUUUAAAACUGGCGGACUAGAGUUGAGUAGAGGGGAGUGGAAUUUCAGGUGUAGCGGUGAAAUGCGUAGAGAUCUGAAGGAACACCAGUGGCGAAGGCGACUCCCUGGACUCGAACUGACGCUGAGGUACGAAAGCGUGGGUAGCAAACGGGAUUAGAAACCCGGGUAGUCC
rnacentral:rRNA from 1 species